AUUGAACGCUGGCGGCAGGCCUAACACAUGCAAGUCGAGCGGAUGAAGGGAGCUUGCUCCUGGAUUCAGCGGCGGACGGGUGAGUAAUGCCUAGGAAUCUGCCUGGUAGUGGGGGAUAACGUCCGGAAACGGGCGCUAAUACCGCAUACGUCCUGAGGGAGAAAGUGGGGGAUCUUCGGACCUCACGCUAUCAGAUGAGCCUAGGUCGGAUUAGCUAGUUGGUGGGGUAAAGGCCUACCAAGGCGACGAUCCGUAACUGGUCUGAGAGGCUGAUCAGUCAGACUGGAACUGAGACACGGUCCAGACUCCGACGGGGGGAAGCAGUGGGGAAUAUUGGACGAAGGGCGAAAGCCUGAUCCAGCCAUGCCGCGUGUGUGAAGAAGGUGUUCGGAUGGUAAAGCACUUUAAGUUGGGAGGAAGGGCAGUAAGUUAAUACCUUGCUGUUUUGACGGUACCAACAGAAUAAGCACCGGCUAACUUCGUG
rnacentral:rRNA from 1 species